GUCCACGCCGUAAACGAUGGAUACUAUGUGUGGGAGGUAUUGACCCCUUCCGUGCCGCAGUUAACACAAUAAGUAUCCCACCUGGGGAGUACGGCCGCAAGGUUGAAACUCAAAGGAAUUGACGGGGGCCCGCACAAGCAGUGGAGUAUGUGGUUUAAUUCGAAGCAACGCGAAGAACCUUACCAGGUCUUGACAUCCCGAUGACCGCCUUAGAGAUAAGGCUUUUCUUCGGAACAUCGGUGACAGGUGGUGCAUGGUUGUCGU
rnacentral:rRNA from 1 species